GAAUGAAGAACGUAGCGAAAUGCGAUAAGUAAUGUGAAUUGCAGAAUUCAGUGAAUCAUCGAAUCUUUGAACGCACAUUGCGCCCGCCAGUAUUCUGGCGGGCAUGCCUGUUCGAGCGUCAUUUCAACCAUCAAGCCCCCGGGCUUGCGUUGAGGCCCUGCGGCUGCCGCAGGCCCCGAAAAGCAGUGGCGGGCUCGCUGUCACACCGAGCGCAGUAGCGAUAUUCGCUCAGGGCGUCGGCGGCGGGACUCCGGCCGUGAAACCCCCCAAACAUCCAAAGGUUGACCUCGGAUCAGGUAGGAAUACCCGCUGAACUUAAGCAUAUCAAUAAGCGGAGGA
rnacentral:misc_RNA from 1 species